rnacentral:rRNA from 1 species
CAAAGAUUAAGCCAUGCAUGUCUAAGUAUAAGCAAUUAUACAGCGAAACUGCGAAUGGCUCAUUAUAUAAGUUAUCGUUUACUUGAUAGCACCUUACUACUUGGAUAACCGUGGUAAUUCUAGAGCUAAUACAUGCACAAAAUCCCGACGCAAGAAGGGAUGUAUUUAUUAGAUACAAAACCAAUGCCCUCCGGGGCUCACUGGUGAUUCAUGAUAACUUCGCGAAUCGCACAGCCUUGCGCUGGCGAUGGUUCAAUCAAGUUUCUUCCCUAUCAACUUUCGAUGUUUGGGUAUUGGCCAAACAUGGUUGCAACGGGUAACGGAGGGUUAGGGCUCGACCCCGGAGAAGGAGCCUGAGAAACGGCUACUACAUCCAAGGAAGGCAGCAGGCGCGCAAAUUACCCAAUCCCGACACGGGGAGGUAGUGACAAUAAAUACUGAUACAGGGCUCUAUUGGGUCUUGUAAUUGGAAUGAGUACAAUCUAAAUCUCUUAACGAGGAACAAUUGGAGGGCAAGUCUGGUGAACUGUUGGUGCCAGAUACAGCUGCGGCCCCGACGGCAGCUAGUGGAGUGCUCGAUCAGUGACGGGUGAGCACCCGCGAGACAACCUGGAUCGGGGGACCCUAAGGGCGCUCAGGCGCCUACGGAAAUCCCGAGCAGAGCCGCAAGGCCUGUGUAGAGCGCGCCAAGGUGUCGGUCUGGCUUCCGCCAGGCUUAAGGUACGCGCCGAACCCCCGCGAAAGCAGGGCCCAGUGGACUAGCACCCGUCGUGCGAAGCUACUGGGAGGUCCGCGAAGUCUGGUGCCAGCAGCGCGGUAAUUCCAGCUCCAAUAGCGUAUAUUAAAGUUGUUGUGGUUAAAAAGCUCGUAGUUGAACCUUGGGCCUGGCUGGCCGGUCUGCCUCACCGCACGCACUGGACCGGCCGGGCCUUUCCCUCUGUGGAACCUCAUGCUCUUCACUGGGCGUGACGGGGAAACAGGACUUUUACUUUGAAAAAAUUAGAGUGCUCCAGGCAGGCAUAUGCUCGAAUAUAUUAGCAUGGAAUAAUAAAAUAGGACGCGUGGUUCUAUUUUGUUGGUUUCUAGGACCGCCGUAAUGAUUAAUAGGGACAGUCGGGGGCAUCAGUAUUCAAUUGUCAGAGGUGAAAUUCUUAGAUUUAUUGAAGACUAACUACUGCGAAAGCAUUUGCCAAGGAUGUUUUCAUUAAUCAGGAACGAAAGUUAGGGGAUCGAAGACGAUCAGAUACCGUCGUAGUCUUAACCAUAAACUAUGCCGACUAGGGAUCGGACGAUGUUUUUACUUGACUCGUCCGGCACCUUCCGAUAAAUCAAAGUGCUUGGGCUCCANGGGGAGUANGGUCGCAAGGCUGAAACUAAAGGAAUUGACGAAGGGCACCACCAGGGGUGGAGCCUGCGGYUUAAUUUGACUCAACACGGGGAAACUCACCAGGUCCAGACACAAUAAGGAUUGACAGAUUGAGAGCUCUUUCUUGAUUUUGUGGGUGGUGGUGCAUGGCCGUUCUUAGUUCGUGGGGUGACCUGUCAACUUGAUUGUGAUAACGAACGAGACCUUAACCUACUAAAUAGUCCGUAUUGCUUUGGCAGUACGCCGACUUCUUAGAGGGACUAUCGGUGUAAGCCGAUGGAAGUUUGAGGCAAUAACAGGUCUGUGAUGCCCUUAGAUGUUCUGGGCCGCACGCGCGCUACACUGACAGAGCCAGCGAGUACUCCCUUAACCGAAAGGUUUGGGUAAUCUUGUUAAACUCUGUCGUGCUGGGGAUAGAGCAUUGCAAUUAUUGCUCUUCAACGAGGAAUCCCUAGUAAGCGCAAGUCAUCAGCUUGCGUUGAUUACGUCCCUGCCCUUUGUACACACCGCCCGUCGCUACUACCGAUUGAAUGGCUCAGUGAGGCGUUCGGACUGGCCCAGAGAGGUGGGCAACUACCACUCAGGGCCGGAAAGUUCUCCAAACUCGGUCAUUUAGAGGAAGUAAAAGUCGUAACAGGUUU